GAGACCCACGCCCACAGUUGCCAGCGUACUCUUUGGAGUGACGGGUACACUGUGGGGACCGCCGCUGCUAAAGCGGAGGAAGGGAUGGGCAACGGUAGGUCAGUAUGCCCCGAAUAUCCCGGGCUACACGCGAGCUACAAUGGUUGGUACAAUGGGUAUCUACCCCGAAAGGGGACGGAAAUCUCCUAACGCCAAUCUUAGUUCGGAUCGAGGGCUGCAACUCGCCCUCGUGAAGCUGGAAUCCGUAGUAAUCGCACAUCAACAGUGUGCGGUGAAUAC
rnacentral:rRNA from 1 species